ensembl:lncRNA
UAGUGAACUUUUCUGAAGUUCUGUGUGCUGCUCUCUGAUAUAGCUAGCAGAAGCCUGUAUAAAACAGGCAUUUUUGGAUGAUGGGCACAGUAGCUUAGUCCAUCCUUCUGUAGGCAUCUGUACAACCAGAAAGCAUCUGCUGCUCUGUCAGUAGAUGGAAGUAAAGUCACAGCCUCUGAAACUCCUUAGCUACAGUUGCAGAAGCUAGCUAGAUCUUUCCGUAGCUAUUUUAGAGAAAAGGUACACCCAGCUUUAAAAAUCGAUUAAUCUUGCCAGAGAACUGUUGGCAGCGUGAGAAUUGUGUUGGAAUUCUGUAGAAACAUGCGUCUAGAACAUGUUAUAGUUGUUUUUUUCCAGACCAUAUAUCAAUAGUAGAUAAUUUUGAUCAGAUAAUUAAAAAGACAUUUCUUCCUCUUCAUGCUUUCCAAAGGUGCAGUUGCUUUUAACCAAGAACAAUAGGACUUUUUUCCAGCCUAUUCUCAGGAUUGAAUAAAGAAGAAGAUCUCUAGCCCUGUGCCUUAAAAGCUCACCAAGCAAGAGAAGAUGGUGUGUUGAUUCUGGCUGACAGGCAAAUCUGUCCAGUACCAGCAAAGAACAUCUCAUGAAGCAGAACUGUGUGGGAUCAACAGAAAUAAAAUGCCAAGCCAACUUUAGCCUCCUCUGGUAGAGAGAAGAAAAAAAAAAAAAGGAAAGGAAGGGGGAAGAGAAGGAGGAAGGGAAGAAAAAGAGAAGAGGAAGAGAAAGAGACUCUCACUGCAUUUUCUUCUGUUUUAAUGAAAGGGAGAGUUACCAGACCUGCCCAUGAUGAGGAGUUCAAAUUUUCUCUUUCCUGAACUAGCUCCCUCCUGUGGCUUGGGGUAUCUAUUGACCUCAAAGAAACAGUAUUCUGCAGAGUAACAGUCAAUCCUAGGGAGUGCAAAGCCUCCUGCAUGUUGGAAAGCAGGUAUUUCUGAUUUAUGAAAAAACUGUGAAAACCUAGGAAGAAUUCAUUUCGCAAGUUGCCUUAGACUGCAGAGUUAUUACCUGACUAGUU